rnacentral:rRNA from 1 species
GACGAACGCUGGCGGCGUGCUUAACACAUGCAAGUCGAGCGGUAAGGCCCUUCGGGGUACACGAGCGGCGAACGGGUGAGUAACACGUGGGUGACCUGCCCUUAGCUCUGGGAUAAGCCUGGGAAACUGGGUCUAAUACCGGAUAUGACCUCAUGACGCAUGUUGUGGGGUGGAAAGCCUUGUGCGGCUAGGGAUGGGCCCGCGGCCUAUCAGCUUGUUGGUGGGGUGAUGGCCACCAAGGCGACGACGGGUAGCCGGCCUGAGAGGGCGACCGGCCACACUGGGACUGAGACACGGCCCAGACUCCUACGGGAGGCAGCAGUGGGGAAUCUUGCGCAAUGGGCGAAAGCCUGACGCAGCGACGCCGCGUGA